GACGAACGCUGGCGGCGUGCUUAAUACAUGCAAGUCAACUUGACUUUAGAUAGCAAUAUCGAAAAGUAGGGUGGCGCACGGGUGCGUAACGCGUAGGUAAUCUGCCCUGAGGUCUGACAUAACCCGUCGAAAGGCGGGCUAAACAUCAGAUGAUAUAUAAUCACGACAUCGUGGAAAUAUCAAAUCUUCGGAGCCUUGGGAUGAGCCUGCGUCUGAUUAGGUAGUUGCGGAGUAAUAGCCCACCAAGCCUACGAUCAGUAGCUGGUCUGAGAGGAUGAUCAGCCACACUGGAACUGAGACACGGUCCAGACUCCUACGGGAGCAGCAGUAAGGAAUAUUGCUUCAAUGGGGGAAACCCUGAAGCAGCAACGCCGCGUGAAGGAUGAAAUACUUUUGUAUGUAAACUUCUGUAAGAU
rnacentral:rRNA from 1 species